GACGAACGCUGGCGGCGUGCUUAACACAUGCAAGUCGAACGCUGAAGCUUGGUGCUUGCACUGGGUGGAUGAGUGGCGAACGGGUGAGUAAUACGUGAGUAACCUGCCCUUGACUCUGGGAUAAGCCUGGGAAACUGGGUCUAAUACUGGAUAUGACAUGCCACUGCAUGGUGGUGUGUGGAAAGGGUUUUACUGGUUUUGGAUGGGCUCACGGCCUAUCAGCUUGUUGGUGGGGUAAUGGCCUACCAAGGCGACGACGGGUAGCCGGCCUGAGAGGGUGACCGGCCACACUGGGACUGAGACACGGCCCAGACUCCUACGGGAGGCAGCAGUGGGGAAUAUUGCACAAUGGGCGGAAGCCUGAUGCAGCGACGCCGCGUGAGGGAUGACGGCCUUCGGGUUGUAAACCUCCUUCAGCACGGAAGAAGCGAGAGUGACGGUACGUGCAGAAGAAGCGCCGGCUAACUACGUG
rnacentral:rRNA from 1 species